rnacentral:rRNA from 1 species
GCAUAAUCUCUAGGAGGAAAGCAGGGGAUCGAAAGACCUUGCGCCAAAGGAGCGGCUGAUGUCUGAUUAGCUAGUUGGUGGGGUAAAGGCUUACCAAGGCAACGAUCAGUAGCUGGUCUGAGAGGAGGACCAGCCACACUGGGACUGAGACACGGCCCAGACUCCUACGGGAGGCAGCAGUGGGGAAUUUUGGACAAUGGGCGAAAGCCUGAUCCAGCCAUGCCGCGUGAGUGAAGAAGGCCUUCGGGUUGUAAAGCUCUUUUAGUCGGAAAGAAAGAGUCAUAGUAAAUAGCUAUGAUUUAUGACGGUACCGACA